rnacentral:lncRNA from 1 species
AAGUAUAUGUGAAGCAUAGCAGGCACAUAAAAGAAUAAAUAUGUAUAUGUGGCACAUAAGUUAGUAAUAGAUAGCAAUAUUGAAUAAAUAUCCAGAACACUUGUCCUAGCUGCUGGUUUAUACGUGUUCCUAACACCAGUUGUGAUAAACAAAGAAGUAAAAUAAAUAUGAAUAGAAACAAGUAUGAAAGGUAGAAAUGGAAAUAUGGACAAGGCAAAUGACACCACAAACAAUAGAGCUAUUGAGUGUUCCCUGUGUGCUCCUUUUUUGAUCUCUUCUCUUUUCUUUUACUAUUUUUUCUUUUCUUUUUUUGUCCAAACUUUUUUCUUGCUUUUGCUCGUUUGAUAUUUUUUCUUAGCAAGAAGCACACAAGGACAAACCAUAAAAAAUUUGAGCUCAACUGGAUAAAAGAUGCAGCCUAUAGAAAAUUAGAAUUAUGCUCCAAAAAGCAUACCAAAAUUUGUGGGCCUGGAAACUCAAUUUUCCUAAUCAAAUUUCACAAAUCUAAUUUUUAUGAACCUAGCUUUGCUGAGAUAAAAUAGAUCUAAAAUUUUCUAGCAUUCUCCGUAGAUAUAAAAUUCACCCUGUUUCAAGUUAUGAUAGUUUUUAGGAAACUGGUUGAAUCAGGGUUUUAGUGGACACAAGAUGCAAACAGAUCAUGACACAGGAUGGUGGCGGAUGGAAUGAUUAACACAAACUAGAAAAGAACACAAUCUAAACCAGCAACAAGACCUUAACCUAGGAUGCAAACUCAAUACGAUGGACUCUGAAAUUGAAAUAUGCAAGGCUAUGGUGCGGAUGGUUGUAGGACGGGAAACAAAUAUGGCAGUGGACUAUGGGAUGAAGUAAAAUCAACUAAACUAGGGUAAAUAUGAUCUUGACGGUAUACCUGAAGCUUUGAAUACCAAAUAAUUGGGACAGGGGUUCCCGAUCUUCCGUCAGGUUCAAGAUAAACACUACUACACAACUGUUGAACGUGACGGGCACUUUACAUUUACCGCAGUGGGCAUUGGCGUCCGCCACGAAUGAAAGGUCACAGUUAAUUGUGGCCUCACCAUGGCAGGCGCCUGUGCCC